GAUGGACGCUGGCGGCGUGCUUAACACAUGCAAGUCGAACGAGGAAGCCCAGCUUGCUGGGCGGAUUAGUGGCGAACGGGUGAGUAACACGUGAGUAACCUGCCCUUGACUCUGGGAUAAGCCCGGUAAACUGGGUCUAAUACCGGAUAGGAGCGCCUGUCGCAUGACGGGUGCUGGAAAGAUCUUUCGGUCAUGGAUGGACUCGCGGCCUAUCAGCUUGUUGGUGAGGUAACGGCUCACCAAGCCGACGACGGGUAGCCGUCCUGAGAGGGUGACCGGCCACACUGGGACUGAGACACGGCCCAGACCCAUACGGGAGGCAGCAGUGGGGAAUAUUGCACAACGGGCGAAAGCAUGAUGCAGCGACGCAGCGUGAGGGAUGACGGCCUUAGGGUUGUAAACGUCUUUCAGCAGGGAAGAAGCGAAAGUGACGGUACCCGCAGAAGAAGCACCGGCUAACUACGU
rnacentral:rRNA from 1 species